AGACAGAGAGAGGCUGCUCUUUGCUUGAUGAUGAUUGCCACAGAUUUCUUUAGAAAAGAAACCCGACAAAGAGGUAAACAAGAGAAAUGGCUCCAAAGAAAAUAUACAAAGGAGAGUUUAGAGGCCAUUUUGUGCUUCCGGCGAUGGGGAUGAGAGAAAGAGAGAAGAGCAUUUCCCAGCAUUCCCAAUGAGGUCUCAGGGCCGUAAGGAGCACCAGCGAUAGCGAAGUUAGCGGUAACGGCUUCAGGGCUGAAAGGGUCAGCGCGUGAUGAGCGGAUGGGGGGAACGGAUUCCAGCAGAGAGGAGAUUCUGAUGCGUGCCCACGCUCAGCCAAUCCACUCUCUCCACCGCGAGAGGCGUCCGCCCACGCUCAGCCAAUCCGCUCUCUCCGCAGCGAGAGGCGUAUGCCCACGCUCAGCCAAUCACCUCUCUCCCUCCGCAGCGAGAGGCCAGACGCUGGAUCUCGGCCACCUCCACAAUCGAUACAGUUUCUCCAGUCGUCCACUGGCCCCGCAGUUCAUACGCCUGUAAUUCUCCCCCUGCUGAAGAGGCCUUCCAUCCCUCCAGGUUACUGCACAGCAACGUGAGGAACACCUCUUUUUACUGGCCGACUGUACACUGGCGCUAUUCAGUUCCCCACACGCUGCUGAGGAUUGGCGGUCAGCUGGCGGUCCGAAGGAGGUCGCCACGUCUCCCCCGAGACACGGCUCUUCAAGCUCCUGCCCGUGACUCCGGUGCGACACGAGGACCGCGCGAAAUUCCCCACCGAGACCUUUUUUUUUGUUUGUUUUGUUUUUAAAGAAAAAAAAAAACAAGGUUCGCUCUGAAAACAGCAAGAAUCCAUUAUUAGUGAAUGGAAGUCCAGCUUAUAUCCUUUACAUAACACAAGCCUCGUCAUGGUUCAUCAAGUCCUAGGUCUUCCCGUCACAAAGUAAACCAACAGCACAGCUUGUAAGCCCUGAUUGAAUUUGCUCGUCGCGCUGCUCAGGCAGAUCAAAAGCGACAUUUGCAUUCGGCUUCUCGAGCCUUUUUCACCGACAGAGUUUACACCUGGAUUUCAGCCGUCACGCAGUGAGACGCACGUCCACGCCUUAGCGAGGUGUUCCUGCUUUUGAAAAAUCUCAUUAGGCCCCACCGAGCUGUGACUGGCAUUAACGCACACCCGAAUUUCGCAGGCGAUAAUAUGAGCUCUGCGGUGUGUUUGUGUGUGUGUGUGCGUGUGUGCGCGCGUGUGUGUUCGUAAAAUCUGGCCCCGUAAACCAAUAUCUAAAGCCAGAAGACUGUUCAGAGAGUUGCCGGUCUCCAAAGCGGGGAGAUAUCUGGUCGCAGCACAGACUGGUAAUGAAGAACAUUAUCGGCAUCUACGCCAAGCAGUGUGAAUUGUGGCUGUUACCAUGACAGCCAGACAGACACCAGAGGGUCCCGACGAGCCAGAGUUCUGGGAAAGCGGGCACAAGGAGAGACUCGCAGUCAAACUUUCACCAUCAAUCUUCCUGACUUUUACUAAUCCUGAGAAUAAGACUAGUACUAGAGGAGUAUGCAGGAAGGGCAUUUUGGAUCUUUUUUUACAUUUUAUUUUAUUUUUUUGCUUUGGUACGUCACAUGGUUCUGCUGUUCUAACUAUAACUGUGAGACAGGCAUUGUUAAUCCAUUUGGAGUCAUUUUACUGUGAAAUACUCAGAAGCCCUCAGGCCAUUUAAAAAAAAAAAAAGCUAACUGGCAUCAGGAGCGCUUCCACUUUUAAGUUAAGUUGCUGCUUUACUUUUGCGGUCAGUUUUCAUUUGUUCUGUUUCACCAUUAAAACGUCUCAGGACAGCAGAAGUGAUUUGGUCUAAUUAAGCAUCAGAUAUGAGAGUGGUGUCCCCUCAGUUAGUCAAGCUGUGCCAGGAACACACUGUGUUCCCAAAUUAAUUUGUGCAUCCUGCAGGAGCCCUAUUUAUCACUGACAGGCUGUCCAUCUGCAAUCCAGAUGAGAGCGGGGCCUGCACUUAUAGUUAUACUGUGUGUGUGUGUGUGUGUGUGGGUGUGUGCGAGUGUGUGUGUAUGAGUAUGUGGGUGUGUUUGUGUGUGUGUGCAAG